rnacentral:rRNA from 1 species
UAAAGAGCUCGUAGGUGGUCUGUCGCGUCUGCUGUGGAAACGCAACGCUCAACGUUGCGCGUGCAGUGGGUACGGGCGGACUGGAGUGCAGUAGGGGAGUCUGGAAUUCCUGGUGUAGCGGUGAAAUGCGCAGAUAUCAGGAGGAACACCGGUGGCGAAGGCGGGACUCUGGGCUGUAACUGACGCUGAGGAGCGAAAGCAUGGGGAGCGAACAGGAUUAGAUACCCUGGUAGUCCAUGCCGUAAACGUUGGGCACUAGGUGUGGGACCCAUUCCACGGGUUCCGUGCCGUAGCUAACGCAUUAAGUGCCCCGCCUGGGGAGUACGGCCGCAAGGCUAAAACUCAAAGGAAUUGACGGGGGCCCGCACAAGCGGCGGAGCAUGCGGAUUAAUUCGAUGCAACGCGAAGAACCUUACCAAGGCUUGACAUACACCGGACCGGGCUGGAAACAGUCCUUCCCUUCGGGGCUGGUGUACAGGUGGUGCAUGGUUGUCGUCAGCUCGUGUCGUGAGAUGUUGGGUUAAGUCCCGCAACGAGCGCAACCCUCGUUCUAUGUUGCCAGCACGUGAUGGUGGGAACUCAUAGGAGACUGCCGGGGUCAACUCGGAGGAAGGUGGGGAUGACGUCAAAUCAUCAUGCCCUUUAUGUCUUGGGCUUCACGCAUGCUACAAUGGCCGGUACAGAGGGUGGCGAUGCCGUGAGGUGGAGCGAAUCCCAGAAAGCCGGUCUCAGUUCGGAUCGUAGUCUGCAACUCGACUACGUGAAGUCGGAGUCGCUAGUAAUCGCAGAUCAGCAAUGCUGCGGUGA